rnacentral:lncRNA from 1 species
GAGAAGAUGCACAGGUGUGAGCCUGGAACUACUUACAGCUACCGUGCAGCACGAAGGAUGCCAGCCCCAGGAGGAAGCCCACACACACAGGGGCGUAUCCUCAGUAACUUCCUCAGGAGCGUAUAUGGUAAACCUUCUGAAUCCUUGAUGUUCACGGAGACAAACUGGAAAGUGAACGAGAGGCUCUUGUAACAACGCUGAUACAGUCGAUACAAAACUGAGACGAUGCAGAGCACAGCCGCGUUAAUCACUCUGCUGCGGGAAGACAUAUGUAAUUCAAAUUCCGUUCCAAAACUUCAGUCACAGUUUGACUUUGUAUAGAAUCUUCAAUUGAAAAUAAUUAUCCCUCGAAUUUCAAAGACAUUGUGGUUUGACUCCAAGAGUGGCAGGAAGAUCAGCCCUGAGCUAACAUCUGCUGUCAAUCCUCCUCUUUUUGCUGAGGAAGACCGGCCCUGAGCUAUCAUUCACACCCAUCUUCCUUUACUUUAUAUGUGGGACACCUACCACAGCAUGGCUUGACAAGCAGUGCUGAGUCCACACCCGGGAUCCAAACUGGGGAACUCUGGGCUGCUGAAGCGGAGCGUGCGAACUUAACUGCUGCGCCAUCUGGCCGGCCCCAACAGUUUUAUGUUCUUAAUAGUCUGAAUAUUCACUGCAGCUUUUCAUAUAUUCUCAUGGCUUUAUAUGAAGAAAUCCUUCUUGAGGCUAAUUUACCAAUGUUAAUUUCCAUGAUUUUAGUCAAAGACUCUUUAGACUGACAAAAAUAAAAACAACCCAGAUCUCAUUUUCAUAGUGGACUUGUCGCUU